rnacentral:rRNA from 1 species
AUUGAACGCUGGCGGAAUGCUUUACACAUGCAAGUCGAACGGCAGCACGGACUUCGGUCUGGUGGCGAGUGGCGAACGGGUGAGUAAUGUAUCGGAACGUGCCCAGUCGUGGGGGAUAACGUAGUGAAAAUUACGCUAUACCGCAUACGCUCUAUGGAUGAAAGCGGGGGAUCGCAAGACCUCGCGCGAUUGGAGCGGCCGAGAUCAGAUUAGGUAGUUGGUGGGGUAAAGGCCCACCAAGCCAACGAUCUGUAGCUGGUCUGAGAGGACGACCAGCCACACUGGAACUGAGACACGGUCCAGACUCCUACGGGAGGCAGCAGUGGGGAAUUUUGGACAAUGGGCGAAAGCCUGAUCCAGCCAUUCCGCGUGCAGGAUGAAGGCCCUCGGGUUGUAAACCGCUUUUGUACAGAACGAAAAAGUUUCUACUAAUACUAGGAGCUCAUGACGGUACUGUAAGAAUAAGCACCGGCUAACUACGUGCCAGCAGCCGCGGUAA